rnacentral:rRNA from 1 species
UACGGUGGGAGCAAGCGUUGUUCGGAUUUACUGGGCGUAAAGGGCGCGUAGGCGGGGAGGUAAGUCGGGUGUGAAAUCCCUCGGCCCAACUGAGGAACUGCGCUCGAGACUGCUUCUCUUGAGUCCCGGAGAGGAAGAUGGAAUUCCCGGUGUAGCGGUGAAAUGUGUAGAGAUCGGGAGGAACACCGGUGGCGAAGGCGGUCUUCUGGACGGUGACUGACGCUGAGGCGCGAAAGCGUGGGGAGCAAACGGG